rnacentral:rRNA from 1 species
GACGAACGCUGGCGGCGUGCUUAACACAUGCAAGUCGAACGGAUCACGAGGCUUCGGUUUUGUGGUGAGUGGCGAACGGGUGAGUAACACGUGAGUAACCUGCCCCGGACUUUGGGAUAACGGCUCGAAAGGGCUGCUAAUACCGAAUGUUGAAUCCUUGUCGCAUGGUGGGGGUUUGAAAGUUUUUUCGGUUCGGGAUGGGCUCGCGGCCUAUCAGCUUGUUGGUGGGGUGAUGGCCUACCAAGGCGUCGACGGGUAGCCGGCCUGAGAGGGCGACCGGCCACACUGGGACUGAGAUACGGCCCAGACUCCUACGGGUGGCAGCAGUGGGGAAUAUUGCACAAUGGGCGGAAGCCUGAUGCAGCAACGCCGCGUGCGGGAUGAAGGCCUUCGGGUUGUAAACCGCUUUCAGUCGGGACGAAGUUGACGGUACCGACAGAAGAAGCACCGGCUAACUACGUGCCAGCCGCCGCCGUAAGAC